rnacentral:lncRNA from 1 species
CUUCCACUUCUGUGGAACACACCCACUCAGUAGCCUAUGAGACCAUGUGCAGUUAGAGCCCUUCAGUUAUCAGAAGACGAAUGCUCAAACAGUUGACAUGUCUUACAGUGGUGAGUUCUUGGGAAACUUAGUGAAAUACCCAGUUCUUUUUUGUUUUGUUUGAUUCUUCGGUAAUUUCACAUGCACCCCAAUCCCACUCAUCUCCCAGUCCCUUCUUAUCUGCCCCUCCCUCUUGUAAAGAUAUAAACAAACAAGAAAAAACACUUCAUUCCUCUGUCUUUCCCACCUCUCCAUUGCUUCUACAUUUAGUGUGCUGGCAUUGUGAGCUGCUGUGUAUCAUGCAGUAAACCCUUUUGUCCUGACUGCUUUACCUGCAAAUGGGCAUUGUGUAGUGAGCUGUUGGUCAGGUUCAAGUAGCUUUUGGUACACCAUCAAUACUGGACCCCCAGCAAUGCUAUGGUUCCACAGGAUAGUCCCUUCAUACUCCAGGAGGCCAUAGAUGGGGUAGGUUAUCCUGGGCCAGUGAGGAACAGGGCCAGCUCAACAUGGCCCUUGUACUUCAGCAUUCUCAUGGGACCCUGUGUUAACCACAGGCAACAGACAUUCACACAGACCUCAGCUGCUGAAGGACCUUGGGGCUGGAUGUCACCAUGGCCAAGGGUGACAGUGCAGGCUGUCAUCAUGAUGGGCCCAGCAGCAGCAUGGUCCCAGGGAUCCAGUUUGGCCCCAUGUGGUGUUUCAGCUCUGGGCAGUCCUGCAGUCUCCGAUGGCAACAGGAGCCACAGACCUCAACAUAGACUCUGGCUGUGGCAGGGCCAUGGAUACAGAAAUUGUCCCCAUCUAGCUCAGUCCACCCCAUCUGUAUGGCCCCAGUGGUAGCGUGACCCUCAGGCACCAACAUGGCCUCAAACAUCCAGUUCUUAAAGUAAACAAAUCUUUAUGAAUGCCCCGAAGUCUUGCUGACCAGGUGGCACAAGUCAUCACCUUCCUCUUGGGUGUCCCCUA